ensembl:lincRNA
GUGAAAGGAGGCCUUUGCAAAAUAGAAAAAGUACUUUCAUUCCAGAGAGAGCCCUAGGAAUUAAAAAAAAGAGGAAUCUGCAAAGAAAAGCAGUAGGGGAGAGAGCUAAUACCACUAGUUUCAUUCUCAUAAGGGAAAGAGAGACAUUUUAGAAAAGAUCUAUUGUGUGAACUUGAAAACAAGAUGUAGGGUCAGAAAUGCUGUGGUGGCAGGUCCGUGGAGGAAGUAGCCAUCAAAUAAUAGCCUUGAUUGCAAGCCAGUGUUAAUUAGGCUUGUGGGGCCCUCAAUGAGCAAAGAAGAUUGAGCUCUAACCAUCAGUUCCCCACAUGAAGGUUUAUUGUAAUAUGAAAAAGUUAUUUAAAUUUCACUUCACGUUGUCCUUUUGAAUCCUCGCAUUAAUAAAAUCGUUUUCAGUGGAAAUAGCAGCAGCAAGAAAUAGAAAAUACUAACAGCAAGAUUUUUUUUUUAAUGCCCAUAAGAAGCAGCUUGGAAAUUGACACUCGGUUGCCAGGCACGUUUUACAGCUUUGCUCUUUACCAUGGAACAGAGAUAAUUUUCCUUAUGGAGAAUUUACAAGUUUCCAGAUGCAUUAUGCUGAAGAUAGCCAGGAUCCAGUACAAGGUUGGUGUCCCACUACAAAGCAAGGGCCUGCCACAACCAGAUGCAUGUUUCAACGACAUCGAAAGACUCACCUUGGACUCAUUGCUGACUUGUCAACCAGAACUCCAAUAUCUGAGUUUGUCAAGCAUUAGCAAAUGUCAUUUGGAGAAAAGAAAGGCAUGGGAUUUUAAAAAUAAUUGGAAAUCAGAAGAAUAAAACAAGGAAACAGAAAUAAGGAAGAGGAAGAAGAGGAGAAAGAGAAGAAGAGGAAAAAAGAUACGAAUUAAAGGUUUGUGAAAACAAAUGCCUAGGAAAGUUAAUUCUAGACAACCAAGCAGGUACAUCUCGAUGAGAGGGAGAGACUUGAAGAGGCAGCAAAGGUUAAAUGGACUAGAAGAAUUUCCUGGCACAAGUUUUGGGUUAUGAGAUGCUCUAUCUCUGGAUAUCAAUUUGGAUCCUUACAAUAUUAUUUUCAGAGCUACUUCACCAUGUUUUCACCUGUGGUUUUCAUGAAAUUUUGUGCUGACAUAUGGACUUAGUGAUCCAGAAAGUUGCCUGUGCCAUGGGAACUCUCAAAGGUCAUAUACAAGCACCAAGCAAACUGCGGGUGGGAUUGGGUAGAGGUGCUAAUGAACUGAGCUGACUUUCUGUGUUUUUUAGUAUAAUAAUGGUGGCUGUUCACCCCAGCAGAAAGUAACAGGAACUCUUAGCAUGCUGAAUUUAAUUCUAGAAUCUCAGGUGGUAAAAAGAAGAGGUCACAUAAUUAACUCUCAGUUAAUGGAAGAAGAACAGUGUCAUGAGUCAAAGAUUAUUUAAAAAUUGCUUAUAAAAAUGGGACUUUGGAAUGCACUCUUUGACUUCUUUGGCAGAGGAUUUACAUCUUAUUUGCUUUGCUUAAGCUAAUAGUAAAAUUAGUUUGUAGUCCUUCUCCAUUUGGAAGAUAUUUGGCAGCAGUUGGAUGAAAGGAGAGUAGGAGAAAAGGAAAGACAAGUAUAUGGGGAGAGAGAAGGAGUGGAGAAACAUGUUGGCUGGCUGGAAAGUCAGGCCAGGGUAAAAGCUUGCCACGUGUAACCUGUAUGGUGUAAACUCAUACAUGCACAAUGAAAAAUUAUAUAAUUAAAGGCACCAAGCCUGAUGGAAUCAGCAUUCAAUAAAUAUUUGUUGAAUGAAUAAAAAGAUUUUUUCUUUGCAUUUGAAGGAAGGAUUUCUUAUCUUAUUGGAAAUCUGCAAAUGGUUUCUUCAGCAUUUUUAUUGGAUGCUGUCUUGGGAAGAAGGCACAGAGAUCCUCUUCCCAUGCUUUUUAUCUUCCUCUCAUUACUCUUCAGAUUGACCCUGAAAU